AUGACGAGUUUUCGCCUAUUCUUCCUUCCAUCAACUUUGGUAACAUGGUACAGAUCGAUUUACGCAGGUUUACUCGCUUUCAAAUCGACAUCAGUGACCAGAUUAUAUGUCAACAUCCCAACAUCAGAAAUGGAGACCGUCAGGCACAACGUGACAGGUAUUCCGUCCCAGAUUGAAUGGUCUGGUAACCAUCGAGCAAGAAAAGAUCCGGUAGAUGCAAGAAUAGCACAAAUUGCUGAGCUUGAACCCAACCACAUCAUGGUCGAACGCUACAGACUUUCAGUUCUUGUCACUGAAGUUAUCCUAUCAAGUGACUGGUGGUACAAAAGUUGCAAAGACUGUCGGAAGAAAGUUCAAAUGGAAGGCGACACAUAUAAAUGUUCACGUUGCAUCACCACUGUUCCUAUGCCGAGAUACAAAAUAUCACUAAAUGCCAUCGAUGCAGACGCAUAA
rnacentral:rRNA from 1 species